CUGGAGAGUUCUCACUUCUCACUGAGAUGUGCCCAGAGCCUAUCAGAUAACCCGGCAGGGUCACCCAUGUUGGACAGGUUUCAGAGGAGCUUGUAGACAAAGACAGACUAGGAAGAAGGACCUGGCCACUCACUUCUGAAAAAAUUGGCCAUGAAAACCCUAGGAAUAGCAGUGGAACAUUGUCUGAUAUAGUGCCAAAAGUCUUUCUCAGGGCUUCAGAAUUAUGGUGGCCACGAGGCCGAGAGCUUUAAACACUGCCAUACCUUGCAUGGAUAGCAGCACACUCUCCAAGUACCCACUACAUACAAGCUAAAAUCGUCAAACUGAUAAAGAACCGUUAAGUUGUUCUCCCAAUUGUUGGAUGGCAGAUAAUUCAUUUUGGCUUAAGAGCCUGGAGGAGAACUUGAAGAAGGAACCAAGGCAAUUCCUUUUCCACAAUGUUGUUCCACAAAAAUCUCUCAAGAUUGCACGUGGUUGAGAAGUCCCAGACAACAUUGGAAUUUUUCAAGGUUGACUCAGCAAACGAUCCCUGAUGGGGUUAGUCACUCAUUCUCUGACCAGAUCUCAUCCAGAUCAUCUUAACUAGAGAUACAGAGACGGGAUGAGAGAAGAUCUAAGCUAAAUCGCUGGUUUACCUACAGCAUUGAUCUCUUUCACCUUUGGUUGUAAGUAGACUGACAACCCUGAUCAAAUUCAAAUUGGUGUUCCUGUUUGAACUAUUCCUUCUUCAAGGGAAGCUUCUUAGUAAGCAGGGUGUGGG
rnacentral:lncRNA from 1 species